GACGAGCCACCCAAACGUUAUUCGGAAUUACUGGGCUUAAAGGGUGCGUAGGCGGUGCAGCAAGUCGGGAGUGAAAUACCUCAGCUUAACUGAGGAACUGCCUUCGAUACUGCUGUGCUUGAGUAAGACAGAGGUGAGCGGAACUGAUGGUGGAGCGGUGAAAUGCGUUGAUAUCAUCAGGAACACCAGUGGCGAAAGCGGCUCACUGGGUCUUUCCUAACGCUGAGGCACGAAAGCUAGGGGAGCGAACGGG
rnacentral:rRNA from 1 species